rnacentral:lncRNA from 1 species
UCAUCAGUCUUGUUAGGUUGAGGCUGAAUAAUUGCAGAGAACUUGAGAGUCUUCCAAGCAGCAUUUCUCACAUGAAAUCUCUUGAAUACCUUGAUGUUUCUGGAUGCUCAAAGCUUGAAAGUUUCCAGAAAGUUUUGGAGGUUAGGAAGAAGCCUAUCUGAGCUUUGUUUGGGUGGCACUGCAAUUAAGGAGCUGCCUGCUUCUAUUUUAAAUCUCAUCAGUCUUGUUUGGUUGAGGCUGAAUAAUUGCAGAGAACUUGAGAGUCUUCCAAGCAGCAUUUCUCACAUGAAAUCUCUUAAAUACCUUGAUGUUUCUGGAUGCUCAAAGAUUGAGAAGUUUCCAGAAAGUUUGGAGGUUAGGAAGGAGCUAUCUGAUCUUUGUUUGGGUGGCACUGCAAUUAAGGCGCUGCCUGCUUCUAUUUUAAAUCUCACCAGUCUUGUUACUUUGAAGUUGAAUGAUUGCAGAGAACUUGAGAGUCUUCCAAGCAUCAUUUCUCACAUGAAAUCUCUUGGAUACCUUGAUGUUUCUGGAUGCUCAAAGAUUGAGAAGUUUCCAGAAAUUUUGGAGGUUAUGAAGGAGCUAUCUAUUCUUUGUUUGGGUGGCACUGCAAUUAAGGAGCUGCCUGCUUCUAUUUUAAAUCUCACCAGUCUUGAUACUUUGAAACUGAAUGAUUGCAGAGAACUUGAGAGUCUUCCAAGCAUCAUUUCUCACAUGAAAUCUCUUAAAUACCUUGAUGUUUCUGGAUGCUCAAAGCUUGAGAAGUUUCCAGAAAUUUUGGAGGUUAUGAAGAAGCUAUCUGAGCUUUGUUUGGGUGGCACUGCAAUUAAGAAGCUGCCUGCUUCUAUUUUAAAUCUCACCAGUCUUGGUAGGUUGAGGCUGAAUAAUUGCAGAGAACUUGAGAGUCUUCCAAGCAGCAUUUCUCACAUGAAAUCUCUUAAAUACCUUGAUGUUUCUGGAUGCUCAAAGCUUGAAAAGUUUCCAGAAAUUUUGGAGGUUAGGAAGAAGCUAUCUGAGCUUUGUUUGGGUGGCACUGCAAUUAAGGAGCUGCCUGCUUCUAUUUUAAAUCUCAUCAGUCUUGUUAGGUUGAGGCUGAAUAAUUGCAGAGAACUUGAGAGUCUUCCAAGCAGCAUUUCUCACAUGAAAUCUCUUAAAUACCUUGAUGUUUCUGGAUGCUCAAAGAUUGAGAAGUUUCCAGAAAUUUUGGAGGUUAGGAAGGAGCUAUCUGAUCUUUGUUUGGGUGGCACUGCAAUUAAGGAGCUGCCUGCUUCUAUUUUAAAUCUCACCAGUCUUGUUACUUUGAAUUUGAAUGAUUGCAGAGAACUUGAGAGUCUUCCAAGCAGCAUUUCUCACAUGAAAUCUCUUGAGUACCUUGAUGUUUCUGGAUGCUCAAAGAUUGAGAAGUUUCCAGAAAUUUUGGAGGUUAGGAACGUGCUAUCUAAGCUUUGUUUGGGUGGCACUGCAAUUAAGGAGCUGC